GCGGUUCCGUCGGGUUCUUACUGUUUACCGAGUUCCCUCUCUGCUCGAGCUUGAUUUUUUUUCCUUUGAUUCAGGGCUCCCCCGGUUGGUUGUUCUUGUCUCUCCCCCUCCUCUCAUGCGAUUUUGCCCUGUCUGUUCGUGUAGCUUCCAGAUCUAUGUCUGUGGAUUAUUGGUAGUUGUAUUUUGAUGCGUUUGGUUCCAUGGAUGCCCCUCUGCACGCGUCAGAUGUAUGAAUUCGUGUGUUAGGUACUUAGGUCUGGCCUGUUCUUCCUCUGUUAGGUUUUAGGUGUUCUCGUUUUGAUUCCCUCAGUGGAGGCGCUGGUAGGUUGUACGUUUAGAUGUUGGUCAUCUGAAUAGGGUUCGGGCUUGUGGUUUCUGCUGGUAGUAUUGCUUCGUAUGGCUUGAUUCGUCUGGCUUGCCCUCUGCAUAUGUAGUUCUACCAUCUGGUAGGGUUAGGGUUUGUAAUUUUUGUUGUAGUUGUAAGUGUUUUAGCUUGCUUGUUGAUGCUAUUAUUGUGUGUCAAAUUUAAUAGGGGAUUGGUCUGGCUCGUCCCCUUCUCGUGUUGUUCUUCCAUGUGGUAGGGGUUAGUGUUUGUGAUUUUGGUUGUAGAGGUAAGGUUUAGGUAGCUUUGUUGAUGUUAUUCUCUUUAGCAUUUUGUCCGCAAAUGUUUUUGUAAUGUUAAGUCUGAAUUAGGGUGGAUGUUAACUGUGAAUUUCACUGUAAUGCAUCCCAUUAUUCCCUAGUUACAUUGUAAUUUACCAACUGUAUUAUUCCCCAGAUAAUUACUGUGCAUUUUAACUCUGAAUUACAGUGUAGUUUUUAUGCUUCGUCUCUGUAAUUGAUGUAAGUUUAAUUACUGUGUAAUUGUAAGAUAGUUUACACUGUAAUUUACUAACUGUAUUAUUCCCCAGAUAAUUACAGUGGAUUUUAACUCCGAAUUACAGUGUAGUUUGUAUGCUUCAUCUUUGUAAUUGCUAUAUGUCUAAUUACUAUGUAACUGUGAGAUAGUUUACACUUUCACAAUGUAAUUACUAUGUAAUUACAGUGUAGUUUGUAUGCUUCGUCUCACACCAGGACGUUCCGUUAGUAUCACCUUUUUGAGAGUGUCGGUGAACUGUUUGUGCCUAAUGCCUUUGCGGAAAAUGGUUCUUGUGCUAUGUCUAUGGUAGUUAUUUCUUUUCUUCUUCUUUAGGUAUAUUUUAUUUUCAUACUUCUUCAGAUCAUUUUAUUUAAUUUCAGUCUGUCAGCUUUUUUAUUUUUGCAGGAACUUUCUGGUGAUGAAGGAGGUUUUGAGAAAGCUCUUUUGAAGUUCUAUUUGAAUCAAGUAUGUUAUUCUUUUUCUGUACUAGUUGAUUUUGUUUUUGCUUAUUUUCUUUUUUUAGGGUGACCCUUGUCUUUUUGUUUUUCAGAAAGUAAAAUGCUUGAAGAGGAAAUUAUCAUCUACUGUGAGAAGGAAUGUCGUUAGUCCCCCUUGGUUGUACCUGAAGUUCUAUCUGAGUAAAAUGCUCUGUAAUUUAUUUUCCUUAUAGUAAUUUUUUAGUGAUGUGUACUGUAUUUCUUAUGUAAUUAUCAUUUCUUUUUUUCUUGCACUUCGCAUGUUUUAUUCUUUGUUAUUCCAUUGUUAGUUUGCAGUAUUUUUUUCUUCAGAAUUUACCCCCUGGUUUUUGUUUACUUAUAUGCGGAAGUAAUCUAGUUUACUAAAGAGCUGUAGUCUUUUGUUUUGCUCUAGGAAUUCCUUUUGUGUAUUUUGUAGCCUUCUUGCAUUGGUACUCUCUUAUGUGUUUUGAUCUCUGUUUCCUUUUGUUCUUUGUAGAGACAGAAUUGUUCUAGUGAUUUCCCUUCUUGUUCAACUUUAUGUAAUUUUGCUGUUAAUAGUUGGGGUAUUCCCAGUGUAUCAUGGGAACUAACAUUGUAAAUUAUAGUGGAGUAGCUCUGAAGUUCCAUUGUAAUUUACUGGGUUACAACAUAACUUCAUCACUGCAAAUCCCUGCAUAAUUUCAGUCUAAUUCCCUAUGCAUGUUUUAUGUAUUUUU
rnacentral:lncRNA from 1 species